rnacentral:rRNA from 1 species
UGGGGAAUCUUGGACAAUGGGCGCAAGCCUGAUCCAGCCAUGCCGCGUGAGCGAUGAAGGCCUUAGGGUUGUAAAGCUCUUUCACCGGUGAAGAUAAUGACGGUAGCCGGAGAAGAAGCCCCGGCUAACUCCGUGCCAGCAGCCGCGGUAAUACGGAGGGGGCUAGCGUUGUUCGGAAUUACUGGGCGUAAAGCGCGCGUAGGCGGAUUGUUAAGUCGGGGGUGAAAGUCCCAGGGCUCAACCCUGGAACUGCCUUUCAUACUGGCGAUCUGGAGUUCGAGAGAGGUGAGUGGAAUUCCGAGUGUAGAGGUGAAAUUCGUAGAUAUUCGGAGGAACACCAGUGGCGAAGGCGGCUCACUGGCUCGAUACUGACGCUGAGGUGCGAAAGUGUGGGGAGCAAACAGGAUUAGAUACCCUGGUAGUCCACGCCGUAAACGAUGAAUGUUAGCCGUCGGGCAGUAUACUGUUCGGUGGCGCAGCUAACGCAUUAAACAUUCCGCCUGGGG